AAGUCGUAACAAGGUUUCCGUAGGUGAACCUGCGGAAGGAUCAUUAAUGAAUAAACUUGGUUGGGUUGUUGCUGGCUCUCAGGAGCAUGUGCACGCUCACUCCAUUUUUAACCACCUGUGCACGUUGUGUAGAUCUGAUAAACUCGAGGUAACUCGGUUUGAGAAUUGUUGUGCGCAAGCCAGCUGUUCUUGUAAUCAGGUCUAUGAUUUCACAUACCCCAUACGAAUGUAUCAGAAUGUCGUAAUAGGCCUCAGUGCCUUUAAAAUUAAUACAACUUUCAACAACGGAUCUCUUGGCUCUC
rnacentral:misc_RNA from 1 species